rnacentral:rRNA from 1 species
AUGGCGCCACCACCACCACUUGAUGAGGAUGAUGACUAUGAAGACCCACUUGAGGAAGCCAUCUGUGCUCAAAGAGUGAGGCUGAGCGAACGGGAGGUGUGCAACCUAUGCGACAACUUUCUGCCACGUGCUGAGUUGAUCGGGGCGCCACUCGUGACCCGUCUGACAAGUACCAUGAUCGAUCGACAUGUCAUGAAAUUGCCAAAGAGCCUAUCUGAGAGUUGUGGCAUCGAGGCUGAUGAAGAAGGCUAUGCUGGAAUACGCCUUACCGCAAGGGGCCCCGUCACUACUUGUGCGUACGGCGUGGAAACGGACGUCGCACACAUUUAA